GAUGAACGCUGGCGGCGUGCCUAAUACAUGCAAGUCGAGCGAACAGACGAGGAGCUUGCUCCUCUGACGUUAGCGGCGGACGGGUGAGUAACACGUGGAUAACCUACCUAUAAGACUGGAUAACUUCGGGAAACCGGAGCUAAUACCGGAUAAUAUAUUUAACCGCAAGGUUCCAUAGUGAAAAACGGUUUUGCUGUCCAUUUAUGAAUGAUCCGCGCCGCAUUAGCUAGUUGGUAAGGUAACGGCUUACCAAGGCAACGAUGCUUAGCCGACCUGAGAGGGUGAUCGGCCACACUGGAACUGAGACACGGUCCAGACUCCUACGGGAGGCAGCAGUAGGGAAUCUUCCGCAAUGGGCGAAAGCCUGACGGAGCAACGCCGCGUGAGUGAUGAAGGUCUUCGGAUCGUAAAACUCUGUUAUUAGGGAAGAACAAAUGUGUAAGUAACUAUGCACGUCUUGACGGUACCUAAUCAGAAAGCCACGGCUAACUACGUG
rnacentral:rRNA from 1 species